UUUAGCUUGAAUACAACUUGACAGUUGGCGGUUGAAACUUUUCUUUAUUGAAGUUCCAGUUAUGGUUUUGGUUCGUGAAUUCAUAUUUCUGGUUGGAAUACCUUGAAAUUUGCACUAAUGGUCUUCGGGAUCUACGCAGAAAGAGGAGGAGUCAAGGAGCACUACACCUAUAUGGAUUAUACUGGAUGCUGAUUGGUGCUACUGUUACCAGGCUAUUGUUAUGGUUUCUUUUUUCUAUGAUUCUCUCAUACUUCCCUUUUUCUUGCUGCUGGGAGUAUAAUAAAGAAAGAGAAUGCAUAAUACUCGCCUCCG